GUCACAGUACGCCCAUAUCACUAGGUCUUUCAGCGACGAUACUUGCGAUAGUUGAAAGCAUUCGGGAGCAGUGUUGUGUCAACAGCCCUAUUGUGUGGUUCAGUGUUGCAGGCAACACUAGCUAUGCGCCGUACCGCGUAUCAUCUGUAGACAUCGAGAACGCACAUAUUAGUAGCGUCCGCACUCGCGUUCGUAUACUGAUAGGAGCGGGCAAUGCUUGUGACAGACCUGUCAAUCCGGACUGGUUAUCUCAACAGAGUUUGACUUUUUUAUAGGUUUUCCCUUCUUUCGCGGCCUUCUUGUGCCUGACUAGAUGCUGUCGCAUGCGUUCAUUGUGUGUCCGGCCGUUGGGCCGUCACGCUUGGGACGGGAGCCGCCUGUUGCUUUAUUGCCUUCGCGUUCGACCCAUUUGCGAAGGCAUGUUGAGCGUAGCCGCCGUGAUUCUGAUUGCUGCGUCUGAUUCGCUUGCCCUUGGUAAAUGUGGUUGCCAUGCAAGUGCAAACGGCGCUGCAACAGCCGAUGUGAAACAAAUAUGACACCGGGAUCUCACGACGGGCAGAACUUCUCGAGGUUUGUUCUGAUAUCGCAGGAUUUCGUGGUGUCUGAGCACUCUGGAGGAAUCGUGUGUUGGCUCAGCACAGCUGUCGCGCUUGUUGCUGUUGCGCGUAAGGCUUGGCGCUAAUGAUGAGGCGUGGGGCAUAUGUUUUUCUCGGGAUGACGACUGCUCCUUGAGGGGGUCGCGUUUGGUUUCAGACUUGGUAUGUUCGGUGAAAUGUGAUAUUGCGUCAGGGAGUAAGCAGCCACCGGAGAGUGUGUAGAAGUAUUUGACUCGCGACGUGUGCCAGAGGAUAGUGUAAAUCAAAGGCAUCGAGCACGACGGCAACAGUAAGGAACGACACUGGAGGUCCGCUGCAGUAGUUCGGUGCACUUAGUGGGAAUGGUUGGGCGCGACCAACGUAGUUCUCUUUUGGUAUGGGGCGGAUGGGUUAAGCAGCGUGGCAGUGACAGG
rnacentral:lncRNA from 1 species